GAUGAACGCUGGCGGCGUGCCUAAUACAUGCAAGUAGGACGCAGUUGCGAACGGGUGAGUAACGCGUAGGUAACUACCUAUUAGAGGGGGAUAACUAUUGGAAACGAUAGCUAAUACCGCAUACUAGUAGAUGGACCUGCGUUGUAUUAGCUAGUAGGUAGGGUAAUGGCCUACCUAGGCAACGAUACAUAGCAGGCCUAGGAUGGGGUUCCGGCAAACUGGGCCUGUGGCACGGGCCAGACUCCUACGGGAGGCAGCAGUAGGGAAUCUGCGGCAAUGGGGGGCACCCUGACCGAGCAACGCCGCGGGAGUUAAGAAGGUUUUCGGAUCGUAAAGCUCUGUUGUUAAGGUAGCGGUACUUAACCAGAAAGGGACGGCUAACUACGUGCCAGCAGCCGCGGUAAUAC
rnacentral:rRNA from 1 species